UGGAGUGUCAUCGGCCAGCUGGUCUGCC
rnacentral:piRNA from 1 species